rnacentral:rRNA from 1 species
GAUGAACGCUAGCUACAGGCUUAACACAUGCAAGUCGAGGGGCAGCACUAGGUAGCAAUACUGAGGUGGCGACCGGCGCACGGGUGCGUAACGCGUAUCCAACCUUCCCGUUACUCUUGGAUAGCCUUCCGAAAGGGAGAUUAAUACAAGAUGGUAUUCAAAUUCCGCAUGUUAUUUGAAUUAAAGAUUAAUCGGUAACGGAUGGGGAUGCGUGACAUUAGAUAGUAGGCGGGGUAACGGCCCACCUAGUCUACGAUGUCUAGGGGUUCUGAGAGGAAGGUCCCCCACACUGGUACUGAGACACGGACCAGACUCCUACGGGAGGCAGCAGUGAGGAAUAUUGGUCAAUGGGCGGGAGCCUGAACCAGCCAAGUCGCGUGAGGGAAGACGGCCCUACGGGUUGUAAACCUCUUUAGUCGGGGAGCAAAAAGGACCACGCGUGGUCCAUUGAGCGUACCCGAAGAAUAAGCAUCGGCUAACUCCGUG